rnacentral:rRNA from 1 species
UACGUAGGGUGCAAGCGUUAAUCGGAAUUACUGGGUGUAAAGCGUGCGCAGGCGGUUUUGUAAGUCUGUCGUGAAAUCCCCGGGCUCAACCUGGGAAUUGCGAUGGAGACUGCAAGGCUAGAAUCUGGCAGAGGGGGGUAGAAUUCCACGUGUAGCAGUGAAAUGCGUAGAGAUGUGGAGGAACACCGAUGGCGAAGGCAGCCCCCUGGGUCAAGAUUGACGCUCAUGCACGAAAGCGUGGGGAGCAAACAGG